GAAGCGGCAACAGCUCAAAUUUGAAAUCUGGCCUUCGGGUCCGAGUUGUAAUUUGUAGAGGAUGCUUUUGGCGCGGUGCCUUCCGAGUUCCCUGGAAUGGGACGCCUUAGAGGGUGAGAGCCCCGUAUGGUUGGACACCAAGCCUCUGUAAAGCUCCUUCGACGAGUCGAGUAGUUUGGGAAUGCUGCUCUAAAUGGGAGGUAAAUUUCUUCUAAAGCUAAAUAUUGGCCAGAGACCGAUAGCGCACAAGUAGAGUGAUCGAAAGAUGAAAAGCACUUUGAAAAGAGGGUUAAAUAGCACGUGAAAUUGUUGAAAGGGAAGCGUUUGCGACCAGACCUUUUCGUAGCGGAUCAUCCGGUGUUCUCACCGGUGCACUUCGCUUCGUUUAGGCCAGCAUCGGUUUCUGUAGGGGGAUAAAAGCUUGGGGAACGUAGCUCCCUCGGGAGUGUUAUAGCCCCUCGCAUAAUACCCUUACGGGGACCGAGGACCGCGCUUUAUGCAAGGAUGCUGGCGUAAUGGUCGUCAACGACCCGUCUUGAAACACGGACCAAGGAGUCGAACAUUUAUGCGAGUGUUUGGGUGUUAAACCCUCACGCGUAAUGAAAGUGAACGGAGGUGAGAGCCCUUACGGGUGCAUCAUCGACCGAUCCUGAUGUCUUCGGAUGGAUUUGAGUAAGAGCAUAACUGUUCGGACCCGAAAGAUGGUGAACUAUGCGUGGAUAGGGUGAAGCCAGAGGAAACUCUGGUGGAGGCUCGCAGCGGUUCUGACGUGCAAAUCGAUCGUCAAAUCUGCGCAUGGGGGCGAAAGACUUAUCGAACCAUCUAGUAGCUGGUUACCGCCGAAGUUUCCCUCASGAUAGCAGUGUUGUUCUUCAGUUUUAUGAGGUAAAGCGAAUGAUUAGGGACUCGGGGGCGCUUUUUAGCCUUCAUCCAUUCUCAAACUUUAAAUAUGUAAGAAGCCCUUGUUACUUAAUUGAACGUGGGCAUUCGAAUGUACCAACACUAGUGGGCCAUUUUUGGUAAGCAGAACUGGCGAUGCGGGAUGAACCGAACGCGGGGUUAAGGUGCCGGAGUGGACGCUCAUCAGACACCACAAAAGGUGUUAGCACAUUUAGACAAUAGGACGGUGGCCAUGGMAGUCGGAAUCCGCUAAGGACUGKGUAACAACUCACCUAUCGAAUGUGCUAGCCCUGAAAAUGGAUGGCGCUCAAGCGUCCCACCCAUACCUCGCCCUCAGGGUAGAAACGAUGCCCUGAGGAGUAGGCGGCCGUGAGCGGGUGCAGUGACGAAGCCUAGGGCGGAGCCCGUGACGUUU
rnacentral:rRNA from 1 species